rnacentral:lncRNA from 1 species
ACAGGGACGCCGGCUGUGGCUGCAAACGCGGGUGCGAGGGAGCUUUUGGUCCCCUCCUUUGUCCGUGGAAGUAUCAAUCCAGGCAAACCACUUGGAAGGGCUGCAGUGAGAAACAGGACCGUGACCUAGUGGAGAGCAUGGGCUCCAGAGUCAGGUUUACUCAGAAGUUGUUUAUUUGAAGAAGACACAUUUAUUUGGUCUGGAGAAAGAAAAUCUGGCUGAGGUGAAAAUCCCUGAGCUGGCUCCAAGGCUCCCUGAAAGGAACAGCAAGUGUAUCAUCAGAUAACCGCCACCCAGCGAUCCCCUGGGAGCGCCCCUUGACCUUUUACCAAAGAUGGACCCACUACAUUCAAGGUCUCUUAUUCCCCCAGCAGUGCUGUUCUAGGUUAAUGCUAUUUUGGGAGCGUGGUUCUUCAUUUCAGUGUGAAUUUCCUCAUCUUUCCGCACAAAUUGAGUGAAAUCCUUAGUGCAUUUUUCUCUUAGAUGGAUGGAGGCUAAAAGAGAAUGGAAGGCCUCCAGCUGUUUGAGGCUCUGUCCUCAACGACAAUCAAAAUUCUCCAUCUUUUCUUGUUCUUGGCACUUUCUGAUUGAAAUAAGAUUCCAGCAUUUAUCUGCACCUGCAAUUUUGACAAGAAAGGAAAAUUUAAAAGACAAGUGAAAGAAUUCUCUGAGGGAAGUCAAUGAGUCGACAGUAGUCAGACGCCUGCGAAUCUCUUUUUGCAUUCCUCCGUCAAUUAAGCUACAGUCACAUAUUGGAGAGCAGAACUUAAGUCUGUGAGUAGAAAUGCAAAAAUGUGCGUGGAUCAGUAGCGGGAACCUUCCUUUGGAGCGAAUAUUACUUGGAGAGCAGCUGAUGAUCAUUGGCGUUGAAAUGGAGAGAAUUUCGAGUCAGAGGGUCACUUUACUUCUCCAGACUCAGUUUUCUGUGCAAAAUGAGGAGAUAGGACUGGAUUAACAUUUCUCAGAAGGUG